ensembl:lncRNA ZNF790-AS1 ZNF790 antisense RNA 1
GCAGGCGCUGGGUCUGCAGAUGGCGUCCAGGUACACAGUGGCGAGUGUGAUUCCGCAGUCUUGGGCUGUUUGGCCAAGCGCCCGCCGGACAUGGUACGCCGAAGGGUCAUCGGCGUGGAGUCCUCGCUUUCAGCGUCCGCGGCUGGGAAAUCGGCCAUCGCUACGGCGGGAACUGGGACUCGGGCUGCGUCCCGGCCCUUCCACAUCGGUCCACCGCACUCGUGGGCGCCCGCAUUGGUGCUGACAUAAUUUCCUGACCUCUGACCCGUAUUGUCUCGCGAUUAAAGGUCCAGAUUUGGAACAAAUCUCUCUAGAGAUUGAACAGAGCUGCGCCUGGAUCCCUCAGCAGUGAGGAGACCUGAAGACCAGAGGAAACACAGCAAACGGAGCCUUGCUCUGUUGCCCAGGCUGGUGUGUAGUGAUCUCAGCUCACUGCAAGCUCCACCUUCCGGGUUCACACCAUUCUCCCACCUCAACCCCCGGAGUAGCUGGAACUACAGCCUCCUGCCACCACGCCUGGCUAAUUUUUUUUUUGUAUUUUUAGUAGAGACGGGGUUUCACCAUGUUAGCUAGGAUGGUCUCGAUCUGCUGACCUCGUGAUCCACCCGCCUCGGCCUCUCAAAGUGCUGGGAUUAAAGGCGUAAGCCACUGCGCCUGGCUGUUUUUUCAUUUCUAUUAUGAUUUGUCCUGUGGAAUGUCAGUGACUUAGCGGUAUUUUUAUCACACGUUUAUAAAGCUGAAUAGUUUUGUAUGUCAGCUCAGCACCCUUAGUGUCAGCCAUGCUAGUCUCCUGCUGUGCAUAGAUCGAGGCCUGUCCAUACCCGAAUCUCCUGGGUUCCCACUGUCAGCACCUGAAGGUACCCACCAGAUGUGUCUGUCACUUCCCUACAUCCACCUCUAUUGUGGUUCUCAUGUUUCUGCCUCCCUAGAGACCAUUUCUCUGUAGAGCAGCGCUUUCGAAUAGAAAUACAAUGCCAGACACAUAAGUUGUUUUAGAUUUUCUAGUAGUCACUUUAGAAAAGUUAAAAAGAAACAGGUGAAAUUAAUGUUUUAUUUCACCUAAAAUGUUAGCAUUAUCCAAAAUAUCACUUCAACAUCUUAUCAAAAUAAAAUUAUUAAUGAGAUUGGUUACCGUUCCGAUAAAUAGGUGAACUGAGAGCAUACACAGUAGUAUUCUGUUCUAAUUUCUGCUUCACUGUGAGUGUCUUGACAUAGUCUUAAAAGAGUAUUGCUGUGAAAUAUUAUACAUGUAACUCAUAACCUCUACAAUUCUGCAGUUGUAAUUGGUUGUCUUACCUAAUAAUCAGUUGCUUUGCUUCAUAAUAUUUAAAUUGGCAUCUCUAUUUUCCAAAAGGCAUAAAUACUAGUAUAGUUUUUUAGUUAAGCCAGGAGAAAGUUCACUUUAUUUACAUAACUUAUACGUAAAAAUUUAAUAAAUCUCCCUGCUUCUUUUCUUUUGCAUCAUAACAACCACUGAAAAUAAUAUUUCUAUGGCAGUUGGGGGUAAAUGGACAAUAGCUUUUGUGACCAGAGGUGAAUGGCCCAGGGUCUCCAGCACUCCAGGUCCCACUGAGCCUGCCCCACAGCUGAGGGCAUCGGUAUUUCCACACACCUAUAAUGUACAGUGCCCCAGAACAGAGAUCGGAUGCUCUGCUUUAUUCAGAUGGGGUGUUGAGAGUAUUGUCAUUGUAAUUGAAUUAGUAAGUAAGUAUUUAUACACUGUUAAAAUCUGGUUGGAUUUGUGUCCCUUCACAAAACAAAUUGCUUAAAUGAAACCACAGAGUUAACAUAAUUGACUACAUCUGCUUCUAUGAGCUGCUGUUCUAACAUUUAACUAGAAUCUAAUUUGAAAUUAGUCAAUAAAAAGUUUAUUCAACUGAAUUAUAUUUAGACUUUUUGUUGUUGUUGUUGUUUUGAGAUGGAGUUUUGCUCUUGUAGCCCAGGCUGGAGUGCAAUGGCGCGAUCUUGGCUCACUGCAACCUCCUUCUCCCGGGUUCAGGCGAUUCUCCUGCCUCAACCUCCCGAGUAGGUGGGAUUACUGGUGCCUGCCACCACGCCCAGCGUGAAGCACUGCACCCGGCCUUCAUAGAUUAUUUUACUUUAUUUUAGUUACUUAUUUUUAUGACUUUAUUGUUAUAAAAAUGCUUGUUUUUAAAAAAAAUCAACCAGUAUAACAAAGAACAAAGAAGAUAAUCAACAAGCAUUCCCACCUCCAUGAUUUAGAAAUAACUGUCAUCAAUACAGGAAAAUACCAUGCCAUUCUUUCUCCUCUAGGCACAUGGACAGACAGAUAGAAGGAUGGGAAAAUAGAUAGAUGGUCCAGGCACAAUGGCUCACGCCUGUAAUCUCAGCACUUUGGGAGGCCAAGGCGUGUGGAUUACCUGAGGUCAGGAGUUUGAGACCAGCCUAGCCAACAUGGUGAAACCCCAUCUC